GCGGGGAUGGCAGAGUGGUCUAAUGCGCUCGCCUUGAGAGCGAGUGCCUUCGGGCGCACGAGUUCGAAUCUCGUUCCCCGCG
rnacentral:tRNA from 2 species